UAUAUAUAUAUAAAUUCAUAUAAAUGGGGUGAUAGUCUAUAAAACCAGAGCUCACUGUGCAAGCUGAGCCAAUCGUGGACCCUUAUGGCCCUUUUAUAAUUGAUGAAAAUUUGGAAGCUAUAGUGGUCAGGUUAGUUUUGGAUUAACUUCUUUUUUGGAACAUUUCAUUGAAAUUUAUACAUGAUGAUAAGUAUUAUGAUUUGGCCAUUAAACUGGUUUUUCAAGUUGAUUAGUUGAAUUUUGUUUGAUUAAUGAGCCAGAAGAAGAAAUGUUUGACUGAUUUUGGUUAUGGCAGUAAUGAGACUUUACCAGGUGGAGUUUCAGUCAAUAAAAAGAGAGUUGAAAAAGGGCUUUCACAACUAAAGCUUAAAACAAUGGCCAUGAGUACUUAUCCCCAAAAAAAUCAGAGCUCUAUCUCGCCGUUCCCUUGACUCCGCUACUCUCUCCAUCUCGCUGUCAUGUCUUGUUUUUUCGAGGUACUCUUGCUCGUCUUUGGUGUGCGUGGCGUCGUCUCCGGUGGUGGCUGUUCUCUCUUCCUGUUAAAGGUUUGGCUGUUCUUGGACUUAGUGUUACAAAUAACAUUUGUUUAUACUAUGUAUAUUUGCUUUUUUUGAUUUGUUUAUACUAUCUAAUGUCUUACAAAUUUUUAGUCACAUACUCUAUUAGAAUAUAUAAAGCUGCUAAUGUUUCCAUUUGCACAAGUGUGGAGGUUGUGCAACUAUUGAAAUUGGUUUUGCAACUUUUGAAUUUAAAAACAGGGAUGAUUGGUUUUUAUUUAUUUAAAAUAGUAUAGAUUUGUUAAGGAUUAAUAUAUAUGUAAUCACUGUAACUUUGUGAUUUGGAGUGAUUUGGAGAGGGCUGUACAAGGGUCCUGUUAUUAUAACUUGAGAAUUUCUUAUUUUGAUGUUCUAUACAUUUUAGUCAAAUUUGCUUUACUUGAUAGGAAACAUUGGGGGGAACUAUUGUAUAUGAGUGGUUGAAAUGACCAUGGCAAUAAUAUUUUUGGCUAUGUAAGUUGGGCAUUUGGUUUUGUACAUAAUAAAACAGCCGUACACUCGUAGAUUUACUUACUGACCUCACAUGAAGCUUGUAGAGUAGUCUCUGAAAGUUCUUUUGUACAAGCAUAUUUUGUUACUUUGUUUAUGAGAUGAUAUUUGAUAUUUUUUAUGUCUUUUGUAAGGCCUAAUUUGAGGUAAUUUGGAUACAAUUGUUAGUUUUGUUCUCUUAGAUUUGAAGGUUGCCUACAAAAUAAUCAGACAACUCUGGAAUGAACUCUUUUUCCUUGGAUACAUAUUUGAAACCAAGUAUGCCUCUCUUUCCCUCCACAUAUUGAAAGAGGUUUAUUAGUGACUCCAUUGGGACUGGGAGGGAGGUAUUUAUGAGAGAACAUAUAGUCUUAUGGUGUCACACAUGUAUUAGUAGUUAAAGAAUGAAAAAAUUUUGUUGAUAGAUUUUUUUUUACAUUCCAAAAACUAAAUGGCUUAUUUUUUUCUUGCUUGGGAAACCCCAUGUAUGUUUGUUUCAUUUUUCAGUAAAGAAUACAGUGAAGUAACUGCUUUAUAUCAUGAUUAUUAACUAUUGAAUUAGGCUAGAAACUGUUGAAAAUAAGAUUUAUAAUAUUUAGCAUCCAAGAGGAUGUAAUAGUGCAGUAUUUGUUCUAUAUUGAUAUUUGAACGAUUGUAGGUAGCAAUUGACGUCGUGAAAAGGUAGCCAUCAUCAUAGAGAUUUCCUAGCUUUUAGCAAAAAGAAUAUAACACUAGUUAAAAGAUGGGACUAGGAAAGUUUGAUGAAAUUUUCAUGCUAUAUAACCUUUUAUAGGAUAAGAUCUUUGGCAGGAAAUUAAUUAAAUUAAUGUAUUGUUUUGUAAAAAGGUUUUGGAUAAUAAGUUGAGGGAAAUAUGAUUCUUUUGAGAAGUUUCUGAAUUACUUGAGAUUUUGGCACUAAAUAGAUCCAUGCAUUAUUGGUGAAAUACAACUAUAUUUUUAGUUCUAUAUCUUGUAUUAAUUUUAUAUUUCUAAGUAAGCUCUCUUCCCUUGACAUUUUCAUUAUAUGACAAAGGAUACUGGCUAAUCGGCAGUCUGCUGCUCGUUCAAAGGAGAGGAAAGCUCGCUAUAUACAGGAACUUGAGCGAAAAUUUGAGACUCUUCAAACAGAAGCUACAACUCUAUCUGCCCAACUCACACUCUUUCAGAAUCUUCAAACAUUGGUAGUUGAGGUUUUUAGAAUUUUCCUAACUUUGUUGUAAAUAUUUAGAAUAUAUUUCACUAACUUUGUAUACAUUUCUUAUUUAAUAUUUGGUGAUGAUAGAAUUUGACUGUAGUAUAAACUAUGUAAUAUGAUUUUGUAAGCCGAGUAGACUAAAUAUUGAAAUUAUAUUUUUGAGUAAUUAAUAAAAAAUUAUUUUUGUUGUA